ensembl:lncRNA
CGUCCAAGCAAAUUCUGCAAGAUUUUGCAGCUCAUAGUAGUAGCUGUCACACAUACCCAGGUCUGCACGACCCCAGGGACAGCUCUUUCCACUUCUCAGACAUUUAAUCCACUUGAAACAUCAGGCCGAUGUGACAUAUAGAAUUCAUACUUCAUAUUUAGCUUCCCGGUGCCCUUACCAAUGUCUUCUCUCUUCAUUACGAACGCUGACUCCCCUAGCUGUUGGGCUGUGAGAAGUUCAAGACACAUGGAGAGGCCAUAAGGGGGCGCUCUGGUCCACAGCCCCAGCAUCAGUUGCCAUUCAUGGGAGCGAGCCAUCCUGGAUGCCCAGCCCACUGAGCCUACAGACGACUUCAGACCCAGCUGAUACUGGACUGCAACCAUACAAGACACCGGUAAUCAACCUGGUAUAGGAGUUAGGAUGGAGUGUGGUUGGCGGAUGAUAGGACUCAGAAAUAAAAUCACUGAAAUGGAUUCCUGCUUUGAAUAAUACAGGGAAACGGACCCGGGCCCCGGCGGUGAGAGCACUGAAUCUUAACCACUGACCAAUAUGGCUGGCUUUAAAAACGUUUCCUAAGCACUUCUGAUGUGGGUAACCAAAACCUGAACAUAACCCACGCAGCCCCUCCAGGAAGAUCUCCAUCCACUAGGGGAAUCAGACACUGCUUUAAAUCAUUGUCGACACAAUAAAAUAUGGAUAUCAUACAGGCUACAAUUUGGCGUAUUUUAUUUUGCAAUUUAGAAGAAAUUCUUUUAAACAGAAGCCACCAGGAUGUUCACAAAAAAAGAGAACGCCUUUGGGAAGGUUGCAAUCACUGGAUGGCUGGCCCCCCGCAGCUGUUGAACCCAGAAUUCAGAUUGCCCAGGGGCUUAUCAAGAGUGUCCCCUUUGUUUCUCUGAAGCUCCUCCUACAAAUCCCCUUAGCACUAUAAAAUCCCCCUGCUUUUUGCUCUUGCUAAGGUGGACUUGAGCAAACCCAUGCUCCCACCUUGUUUUGGCCAAUUUGAAUAAAACCUUUCUCCAUCUCCAAACACUAUGUCUCAAUGUUUGGCUGACUGCUCCUCGGGCACAUGAAUUUGAGAUUAAGAGAUUAGGUAUCAAUUCUGGUGAGCCAGCCAGGAGUCUUGUGUCCGUAGCUGGAUGGGCACAGUGAGGGUUUGAGCAGUUGGUGGUCCCCAGCAGCUGCCUAGGUGUCUUUGCCCAGGGGACUUCCUCUGCUUCUCCUCCCUUCCCACUGGCAUCAACCGCCCUUGGUGCAGCACUCACUUGGAGUGGAGAAAUGUAUUGGACCUCGGUCUACUUUUUGUCAUUGUGUGGAUGCAUUUGUCUUAUCAGAUAUGAGUACUUUUGAUUUUGCUUUGCUGGGUGAGUCAUCACAACACACGCAGCUACAAAUUCCCUGUCUCCCUGUUUGCAUUUUGUGUGAUUGAAAGGAGGCAUCCUCAUAUGGGAGAGAGAGAGGGGACUGUUGGACUUCACCUUUUGCUUUUAUCCUGCAGGUGUUGGAUUUUGUCUUUGUGUGGGUGCACUCGUGUGUGUGAGUCAGCUACAGGAAACACUAAUUCCAUCCCUGAAUGCAGCCUCCUGGGACACAUACUUCAAAACUGGAUGGCUUUUAGUUAUGAGCCUAUGAAAUGUGAAAAGAUGAGUUUCCUUUGUAAUGUUUCCCGGCCACAGUGCUCCUUAGGUUUUUGAGAAAAGUGGCCUGUUAAUGGAUCUCUAAGUUAUGCUAUCAUCUUGCAAUUGGAGUUGUUCUGUAACAGAAAAGGGAAAUGGGAUGAAAUCUCGUACGUGCAGGCUUUUAUGCUGUUGCACUAAAAUGAGUCAGCCCACAGGAGGUACAAUCUGAUGGUGCAAAGGGCUGAGAAGCCUGAGCUAGUUCUGUUGGACGCCAAGGGCAUGAAGAAGGAUGAUGAAAUUUUGAUCAAUGCGUUAAAUCCUCCCACAGCUCUGCCAGAAACCCUGCUGGCCCUUGUGCCACCUCCUUUUCAGCCAGCACCCUCUCUGCUGGUUCCCACUCUGCAACCAGUGGACCCUUCACUCAUGGCAACCUCCGGCCCACCCCCCUAUGGAAGGCAGGUAGCAGGGACCACACAACCCCCAAGAGUUGAGGGAAGCCAGGAUGUGCUCUCUACUUCCCGUAGGUAGUAGGGUGUGCAGUUCAGCCAGGGAGCAGGGGCUUCUCAAGAACGGCAGUUUCCACUCCCCGAGUUCCCAAUCAGAGGACUGAAUGCUAAUGGCCAGCCAGCAGGCCUGAUAUGAGUGCAUCCCCUCUUUUCUAUUUUGGAUCUUUUUAAUUGGAAGAACAAUAAUCCAUCCUAUAGACAGGACCCCAAGCAUAUGACUGAGUUAUUCUCCUCCAUCAUUUUUAAAAAGAUUUUUCCUUUUUCUCCCCAAAGCCCCCCAGUACAUAGCUGUAUAUUUUUAGUUGUGAGUCCUUAUAGCUGUGGCAUGUAGGAUGCUGCCUCAGCAUGGCCUGAUGAGUGGUGCCAUGUCCAUGCCCAGGAUCCCAACUGGCAAAACUCUGGGCUGCCGAAGCAGAGAGCAUGAACUUAACCACUUGGCCAUGGGGCCGGCCCCUCCUCCAUCUUUUUGACAUACCAUCCCACUUGGGCUGACAUUCAAGCCUUAAUGAAUAUUUUACUCACAGCGGGGGAGGCCAUAUGGUUAUUGAAAAGGCACAGGAGGAACCCCAUUGGCUCCAUUUCAAGGACGGGGACAAUCAGCCUAAUUUCACUGAGGCUGUCCCACAGUUGAACUAAACUGGGAUACAAAUGGAGGGGGAAUGCUCUGCCUAGAACACUACAGGAAAUGUAUUCUGGAAGGAUUGGGAAAAGGAGUCCCACAAAGUUCAGGAAGUUCAGCAAAAACCACAGAAGGAUCCGUCCCAGUUUUUAGAACAAGCAUAUCAAGCCUAUAGGAAGUACACCAGUGCUGACCCUGAGGCCCCAGAGAAUCAGAAAGUAAUCAACAUGACCUUCAGCAGUGGGAGUGCCCCAGAAUCAGGAGGAAACUACGGAAGGUCGAUGGGGCCCUCAUGCUGACCAUCUCCCACGUGGAUGACCUUGCUUUUAAGGUUUACAACUGUAGGGAUCAGGUCCAGGACAUGAAGGAACAAUGGAGAAUGAAGCAGCGGGUCUCUCUGCUGGUGGUGGUGCUCCAUCAAUGAGCCAUUGGGAAGACAGGGAGAAGAUCAAAAAAGGGACUGAGAAAGAUAAGAGGAGAACGUCCAACCCUGGGGAAAGAUCAGUGUGUAUGAUGUAAGGAAGAAGGACAUUAGAAGAAGGAGUGUCCCAGGUUGUAGAAGAUGGCCAAAGAAGGUGAGACACCCUUAACCCAAAUGGUGAAAAUAGAAGGGGGAGAUACAGAUGAGGAAUGAAUAGGCCCAGGGACCCUGCUUAGACUGAAGCAAGCUAUCUUUAUAUCCCCACAGUAGCCUCAGGUUCAAAUGACAGUGGGCAAAAAGAUAAUUGACUUUCUCAUCAAUACAGGGGCUACCUACUUUGUUGUUAACACACAUUUAUCCCCCAACUCAAAAGAAGCUAUCUAUGGUUGUUACCAGGGUGUCAGUGAAGACAAUGACCCACCCCUUUUUACAACCCUUGGACUGUCAUCUUGGAAAUACAAACCUGAGACACAGUUACAUACACAGAUACAUGCCCUAAUGCCCUAUUCCUCUUCUGGGUCAGGAUUUGCUUGCCAGGCUAAAUGCCCAAAUUAUUUGUUCCCCAGGACACUUAGAAGUGGAGGUCCCUCCGAGCUUGCCUUCACCUCUCAGACGCUAUUGUUGCAGCUUGAUGAUGGAUCUCAACCUGAGAUACCUGAGGAAAUUCUUGAUAGGGUAAGAGAGGACAUCUAGGCAAGUGGGAGGUAGGGAUGGACCAAAACCAUGGUUCCUGUGAAGGAGCAUGAGAGCCUCAAUCUAAAACAAUACCCUCUGAAAGAAAAAGCACAGAGAGAGGUAAAGCCCUAUUGAAGGUUUUUCUGCAGCAGGGCUUGAUUCACCCACGUUCUCACCUUACCAUACUCUCAUCUUACCAGUGUUCAAGCCCAAGUCCAAUGAAUACCAGUUCCUUCAAGACCUUCGAGCUAUAAAUCAGAUGGCUCCAGAUGUGCACCCAGUGGUUCCCAAUCUGAACACUUUGCUGACUAUUUUGUCAGGAGACCCGUGCUGGUUCACGGUCUUGGGUUUGAAAGAUGCCUUUUUCUGCAUUUCCUGGGAUGAAAGUUCCCAAGAGGCCUUUCCCUUUGAGUGUCAAGGUCCCAAGACCAAUGUCAAACAGAAGUUUUGCUGGUCCGUUUUGCCUCAGGGUUUUAAAAAUCUGCCCACGAUAUUUGGGGAAAUAUUGGCUAGGGACCUAAGGGAACUUCAGCUGGUGGAAGGGGCUCUUACAAUAUGUGGACGACGUUCUCGUUGCUAAUAAAUCUAAGGAAGCUUCAGCUGAAAACACCACUUGAAUUUUAAAAUUUCUUAGCAGAUAGAGGUUACAAGGUUUCAAAGAAGAAGACCCAAAUUUGUGAAAAGACAGUUAAAUACUUAGGGUUUGAACUGCCAGAAGGACAGAGAAGCCUGCUCCCAGAUAGGAGGGAAGCAAUCCCUUAAGUAGUGACUCUCACCACCCGUUUACAGAUGUGGGGAUUUUUAGGGAUGGCAGGCUUCUGUUGAAUUUGGAUUCCCAACUCAGGAUUAACUGUAAAACCUCUGUAUGAGGCCUUAAAGGGAGGAGACCUCGAGCCUUUGGUGUGGACACAAGUGUGCCAGAAUGCAAUCAGGUUAAAGAAAAAUUGUUAACUGCCUCAGUCUUGGGACUCCAAGAUUUGAGAAAGCCCUUUGCUCUUUUUGUACAUGAGAAACAGAGCCUUAGUUUGGACGUCCUGACCCAGAACUUUGGACCCACUAGGAGGCCUGUGGCCAUUUUUCUAAGCAGUUGGUCAGAGGAUGGCCACCUUGCUUCUGAGCUGUUGUCCGCCACCAGUGACAUACUACAGGAAACUGAAAAGUUCACACUGGGGCAACCCACCAUGGUGCACACUCCCCGCUGUGUCCUCCCUUUUUAGAACAGAUGGAGGACAUUGACUAACCUCAAGAAGAUUAGGUAGGUAUGAGGCUAUUUUAUUAGACCACCCAGAGGUAAGUUAAAAGCUAUUUCUACCUUAAACCCUGCAACCUGCUACCUACUGAUGUCAAACAGCCCUCCUUUUAUGACUGUCUUCAGAUCAUUGAACAGGUAUUCUCUAGUUGACCUGAUUAGACUGACCAACCUUUGGAGUAGCCAGACUUGGAAUUGCUCACUGAUGGAAGCAGCUUCAUGGAUCAGGGGCAAUGUCAAGCAGUGUACAUAGUUGUCACCUUAUAGGACACCAUGGAAACAAAGGCCCUACCUCCAGGUAUCUCAGCUCAAAAGGCUAAACUUAUAGCACUAACUAGGGCUCUUCAAAUAGGUAAAGACAACAGAGUCAAUAUAUAUAUACAGAUUCAAAAUGUGCCUUUUUAGUGGUCCAUGCCCACAGGGCCAUAUGGAAAGAUGGGGGACUCUUGACUGCUGGAAAGAGGGACACAAAAUAUUGCCAGGAAAUGCUAACAUUCUUAGAGGCCGUUAAUGACCCCAUGGCAGUAACUAUCGUUCACUGCCCUGGACAUCAGAAAGGGGACACUUUGGAAGCCAGAGGCAAUCAACUGGCUGAUCAGGCAGCCAAGACUGCUGCUAGGACUAUGAGUUUCAAGGCACUCCUGGCUCCCUUAGUUCCCCAAAUUGACUGUAUUCCAACCUAGCUACCCCCAGAAAGAUUUAGGGAGAGCCAGAGAAGGGGGAUUUGGCUCCUCCUCUCUGGAGCAUCCUGGCUGGAAAUGUACCUUGGAAGUACUCAUCCUGGUACCUGAAGCCCUUCUGGGAGAAAUUGUUAAUCAAACCCAUCAGAGCACUCACUAUGGGAGGGAUGCCACCUUGCAGUGGAUCCAAAGGUAUUUAGUCGGUCUGAAAUUGUAACAGAUCAUUCAGAAAGUUACCCAACAAUAUGUUAUGUGUGGCAAAAAUAAUCCCAGGACGGGGCUGCCCUCUUUGAACAAGGGGGUUCAACAUUGAGGAGCAGCUCCCUGUGAGGACUGACAAGUUGACUUUAUUAUGAUGCCUCGAGCCUCUGGGAAUGUCAAGUAUCUCCUAGUAUUCAUAGAUACCUUUACAGGAUGGGUUGAAGCUUUUCCUUCCAGAACUGAGAGGGCUAAUGAAGUGACCAAAGCUUUGUUAAAGGAGAUCAUUCCCAGGUACGGAUUCCCACUGUUGAUCCAGAGUGACAACAGAGUCGCAUUUAUCUCCCUAAUAACCCAAGAAAUAUCAAAAGGCUUGGGGAUCACUUAGAAACUCCAUGCCUCAUGGCAGCCCCAGUCAAUGGGGAAGACUGAAAAGACGAACCACAAAGAAGACUAUUGCCAAAAUUUGUCAGGAAACUAACUUAAUCUGGGACAAGGCGUUGCCCUCUGCCCUGCUGAGCAUCUGGGUAGCUCCCUGAAGUAGGCUUUAAUUGAGCCCCUUCGAAGUGAUGUCUGGGAGACCAUUCUCAGCUUCACCAAUGGGGGGAGAUUUUAUACAACAGAAAGAAAUAGCAAUCAGGCAGCACUUAAAAUUUUUAAAUGGAAUCCUAACUUCUCUUCAUGAGUUUGCCUCUCACAGAUCCCUGUUCCUGUCAGAUGUCCCACCCUACCACAUCAAGGCAGGUGACCAUGUUCUCCUUAAGUCUGGGAAGGAGCAUGGACCAAAGGAUCAACUAACCCCCAAGUGGACUGGGCCUUAUGAAGUCCUCCUGACCACCCAUUCAUCAGUCAAAUUGGCCAGAGUCAAGCCGUGGAUUCAUCAUACCUGAGUGAGGCUCACCUCCACCACAACCAGAGCCACUGGUCUUAUGAGCCACUGAAAGACCUUAAGCUGCUAUUCUGGGUUAAGAUAGCUGAUACCAAGCCGUCAGAUAAAUAAAAUUAUUUGGGGUCUUGCAUUCUGAGUUCUGGAAAUUUGGGUUAUCAAAUAUGGAAUAAAGUGCUGUUCUAAGUUAAAAUCAAUCAAAUAAAGAUAAUGCAAAAUGCAAAAUAUAGCCCAGUACCGAAGAGUAUUUUCAAUCUCAGGUUCAAAAAUUUGCUUCCUCAGUUUCCCCAUCUUUACCCCCUUUCAGCAAGAAGUAGCCAAACAAUCCAUAUGCCACUUCCUAGAAGAAUGAGGAAGGGAAAAUAGACAGUGGAGAUUAAAGCUGGGUACCUGAGGGUUACCAUAGAUAUUCAAUAAGCAACUUGCUGGUUUCUUGCUUAACUUGAGGAGUGACUCAGGGGUCUCAAGGAUUUGUGAGCUUGUUUUUCAGAAUACAGAGAAUAACUUUGGGGGGUUUGCAAUCACUGCAUGGCUGGCCCCCAGCUGCCAUUGGUGCCUAGAAGUCAGAUUUCCCAGGGGCUUAUGAGGAGUGACCCCUUUGUUUCUCUGAAGCUCCUCCUGCAAAGCCCCUUAGCUCUAUAAAACCCCCCUACUUUUUGCUUUUGUUAAGGUGGAUUUGAGCAAAUCCAUGCUCCCACCUUCUCAUUUUGG